rnacentral:lncRNA from 10 species
UGGGUCUUGACUCUUUAUCCAAUUUGACAGUCUGUGUCUUUUAAUUGGGACAUUUAGCCCAUUACAUUUAAGGUUAAUAUUGUUAUGUGUGAAUUUGAUCCUGUCAUUAUGAUGUUAGCUGGUUAUUUUGCUUGUUAGUUGAUGCAGUUUCUUCCUAGCCUCGAUGGUCUUUACAAAUUGGCAUGUUUUUGCAGUGGCUGGUACCGGUUGUUCCUUUCCAUGUUUAGUGCUUCCUUCAGGAGCUCUUUUAGGUGAGGCCUGGUGGUGACAAAAUCUCUCAGCAUUUGCUUGUCUGUAAAGUAUUUUAUUUCUCCUUCACUUAUGAAGCUUAGUUUGGCUGGAUAUGAAAUUCUGGGUUGAAAAUUCUUUUCUUUAAGAAUGUUGAAUAUUGGCCCCCACUCUCUUCUGGCUUGUAGAGUUACUGCCAAGAGAUCAGCUGUUAGUCUGAUGGGCUUCCCUUUGUGGGUAACCUGACCUUUCUCUCUGGCUGCCAUUAACAUUUUUUCCUUCAUUUCAACUUUAGUGAAUCUGACAAUUAUGUGUCUUGGAGUUGCUCUUCUCGAGGAGUAUCUUUGUGGCAUUCUCUGUAUUUCCUGAAUUUGAAUGUUGGCCUGCUUUGCUAGAUUGGGGAAGUUCUCCUGGAUAAUAUCCUGCAGAAUGUUUUCCAACUUGGUUCCAUUCUCCCCGUCACUUUCAGGUACACCAAUCAGACGUAGAUUUGGUCUUUUCACAGAGUCCCAUAUUUCUUGGAGGCUUUUUUUGUUUCUUUUUAUUCUUUUUUCUCUAAACUUCUCUCGUCAUUUCAUUUCAUUAAUUUGAUCUUCCAUCACUGAUACCCUUUCUUCCAGUUGAUUGAAUUGGCUACUGAGGCUUGUGCAUUCGUCAUGUAGUUCUUGUGCCUUGGUUUUCAGCUCCAUCAGGUCCUUUAAGGACUUCUCUCAUUGGUUAUUCUAGUUAGCCAUUCAUCUAAUUUUUUUCAAGGUUUUUAACUUCUUUGCCAUGGGUUCGAACUUCUUCCUUUAGCUCGGAGUAGUUUCAUCAUCUGUAGCCUUCUUCUCUCAACUCAUCAAAGUCAUUCUCCAUCCAGCUUUGUUCCAUUGCUAGUGAGGAGCUGCGUUCCUUUGGAGGAGGAGAGGUGCUCUGAUUUUUAGAGUUUCCAGUUUUGCUGCUCUGGUUUUUCCGCAUCUUUUGGUUUUAUCUACCUUUGGUCUUUGAUGAUGGUGACGUACAGAUGGGGUUUUGGUGUGGAUGUCCUUUCUGUUUGUUAGUUUUCCUUCUAACAGUCAGGACCCUCAGCUGCAAGUCUGUUGGAGUUUGCUGGAGGUCCACUCCAGAGCCUGUUUGCCUGGAUAUCAGCAGUGGAGGCUGCAGAACAGCAGAUAUUGGUGAGCAGCAAAUGUUGCUGCAUGAUCAUUCCUCUGGAAGUUUUGUCUCAGAGGAUUACCUGGCCAUGUGAGGUGUCAGUUUGCCCCUACUUGGGGGUGCCUACCAGUUAGGCUACUUGGGGGUCAGGGACCCACUUGAAGAGGGUCCAUUCUCAGAUCUCCAGCUGCGUGCUGGGAGAACCACUACUCUCUUCAAAGCUGUCAGACAGGGACAUUUAAGUCUGCAGAGGAUUCUGCUGCCUUUUGUUUGGCUAUGUCCUCCCCCUAGAGGUGGAGUCUACAGAGGCAGGCAGACCUCCUUGAGCUGCAGUGGGCUCCACCUAGUUGGAGCUUCCCGGCUGCUUUGUUUACCUACUCAAGCCUCGGCAACGGUGGGCGCCC